rnacentral:rRNA from 1 species
GGCUACCGCUAUUGGAGUUCGACUAAGCCAUGCGAGUCGAGAGUCCUCGGGACUCGGCGUACCGCUCAGUAACACGUGGGUAACCUGCCCUAUGCUGGGGAAUAACCUCGGGAAACUGAGAAUAAUGCCCCAUAGCCCACUACGCCUGGAACGGUGAGUGGGUCAAAGCCCCGGCGGCAUAGGAUGGGCCUGCGCCGUAUCAGGUUGUAGGGGGUGUAAAGUACCCUCUAGCCAUCAACGCGUACGGGUGUUGGGAGACAUUGCCCGGAGAUGGAUUCUGAGACACGAAUCCAGACCCUACGGGGUGCAGCAGGCGCGAAAACUUGGCAAAUGCGAGAAAUCGUGACCAGGGAACUCCAAGUGCGUAGGGUAAGACCUACGCUUUUCUUGACUCUUCAAAGGUCUUGGAAUAAGGGGUGGGUAAGGACGGUGCCAGCCGCCGCGGUAAUACCGGCGCCUCAAGUGGUAGUCGCUUUUAUUGGGCCUAAAACGUCCGUAGCCGGUCUGGUGCAUUCGUGGGUAAAUCAACCCGCUCAACGGGUUGAAUUCUGCGAGCACGGCCAGACUUGGGACCGGGAGAGGUGUGGGGUACUCUCAGGGUAGGGGUAAAAUCCUGUCAUCCUGAGAGGACCACCUGUUGCGAAGGCGCCACACUAGAACGGAUCCGACGGUCAGGGACGAAACCUAGGGGCACGAACCGGAUUAGAUACCCGGGUAGUCCUAGGUGUAAACGCUGUGGACUUGAUGUUGGGGGCGCUCCGAGCGCUCUCAGUGUCGAAGCGAAGGUGAUAAGUCCACUGCCUGGGGAGUACGGUCGCAAGGCUGAAACUUAAAGGAAUUGGCGGGGGAGCACUGCAACCUGAGGAUUGUGCGGUUU